GACAAACUUCCAAGUGCGAGGCAGUGUGGAGGGCUGUUUCCUUGAAUGGCAGCUGAAUGCACCGGCGGGAUCCUUGGCAGCAAUGCCCAGGCACUGAAGCCGGGCAUUCAGGAGAGCUAAAUGGAGAAAAGAAACUUGAGCAAACUGCUUCCUGGAACACUGAGAACCUGAAUGGGAAAUUAAGAAGAACCAGAUUCUUUCUAUUCUUCCACCAGCCAAGCAACUUCAGGAUGGGGGAAUCAAGCAAAACCAUGGUGAAGAGAUUCAUUUAAAGAGGACAAGUGAUUUAUUCUACAUCUCAGGAGACAGUUCCUUAAGGUGAUGAGCACAAAAGGAUCCAUCUUAUACAGUGCUUGCCAGCUUCCAUAAUACUACUCACCACGAUGUUGAAAUCACCUGUUCCAGAACCAGUCCUGUCCUUUGACAAGAAGGAUUUAAUUAUCAGUAGUGGUGGGGACUGGCUGGAGAGAGGAAAAACACUUCAAGGACUCUGCCACCUUUCGUAGAUGGAGAGUGCAAAGUUUGUACCAUGGAACUCCUUCUCUAACAGUUACUCUGUGGCAGUGCCUAUUUCAAACCUCCCUUAACUUCUGAUUGUAUAGAUGUUUGUUUCAUUUGUUCAUCUGUUUGUUCACUUAGUCAGAGAUGUUUUAAGCCUUAAGAGAAAUAGUGGACUAGAAAAUGCCUUGGAAAAGUACAAAGUUCAAUCCAAGUAAACUGUUUUUAAACUAGGAACUUAUGAAGCCUAAAAUAUAAAAUGUAUGUACAUGGAUAUGCUCUGAAGUGAGGUAGAGGGGUAGAAAUCAACAUUGUGAUAUUGUACUAUAGUUUUGCAAGAUGUUACCAUUGGGGGAAAAUGUUUGAAGGGUAUACAGGAUAUCUCUGCCUUAUUUCUUACAACUGCAUGUG
rnacentral:lncRNA from 1 species